UACGUAGGGUGCGAGCGUUGUCCGGAUUUAUUGGGCGUAAAGGGCUCGUAGGCGGUUUGUCACGUCGGGAGUGAAAACCCAGGGCUUAACCCUGGGCCUGCUUCCGAUACGGGCAGACUAGAGGUAUGCAGGGGAGAACGGAAUUCCUGGUGUAGCGGUGAAAUGCGCAGAUAUCAGGAGGAACACCGGUGGCGAAGGCGGUUCUCUGGGCAUUACCUGACGCUGAGGAGCGAAAGUGUGGGGAGCGAACAGG
rnacentral:rRNA from 1 species